rnacentral:rRNA from 1 species
UAGAUACCCCACUAUGCUCAGCCCUAAACUUAGAUAUUUACUUACAAUAAUAUCCGCCAGAGAACUACGAGCCCAAACGCUUAAAACUCUAAGGACUUGGCGGUACCUCAACCUCCUAGAGGAGCCUGUUCUAUAAUCGAUAAUCCACGAUCUACCUCACCAUCCCUUGUCAAUUCAGCCUAUAUACCACCGUCAUCAGCUUACCCUGUGAAGGGUGCCAAGUAAGCAAAAUAAUCUAAAUAACUAGCAAGUCAGGUCAAGGUGUAGCCAACUGAGAUGGAAGAAAUGGGCUACAUUUUCUUUAUUAGAAAUCACUUAACAGAAAGGACCAUGAAAUAAGUCCCAUAAGUAGGAUUUAGCAGUAAACUGGGAACAGAGAGCCCAAUUUAAGUCGGUCCUGAGGUGCGCACACACCGCCGU